CGUACAGGAAGCGUAAAGGUGUGUACGAUUAAGAGGGGCUAUGUCUAAGCUCAGGGGUCUGACCUGAACCACCUGACUGACUGCUAACCCCACAGU
rnacentral:snoRNA from 1 species